rnacentral:tRNA from 1 species
GGGGAUAUAGCUCAGCGGUAGAGCGCUUGCCUAGCGAGCACAAGGCCCUGGGUUCGGUCCCCAGCUCCG